UACGAAGGGGGCUAGCGUUGUUCGGAAUCACUGGGCGUAAAGGCGCGUAGGCGGCCGAUCAAGUCGGGGGUGAAAGCCUGUGGCUCAACCACAGAAUUGCCUUCGAUACUGUUUGGCUUGAGACCGGAAGAGGUAAGUGGAACUGCGAGUGUAGAGGUGAAAUUCGUAGAUAUUCGCAAGAACACCAGUGGCGAAGGCGGACUUACUGGUCCGGUUCUGACGCUGAGGCGCGAAAGCGUGGGGAGCAAACAGG
rnacentral:rRNA from 1 species